rnacentral:lncRNA from 1 species
AAGUUCAAAAUAUAGUACCCUCUGUAUUCCGCCUAGCUUUAGCGCCGAUCUGUGUGAAGUUGUGCCCUAAUCUCCGGUGGUUUAUCUGUGUUUUAUCAAAAACAGAUUGUGGAAUCUGGUCGUGUGUGAAGCUCUGCCCUAAUCUCCGGUGGUUUAUCUGUGUUUUCUCAAAAACAUAUUGUGAAUCUGGUCGUGUGUGAAGCUCUGCCCGAAUCUCCGCAGAUUGUGUUUUCUCAAGGUAUGCCUCCUCUUUCAAGUUGCUCUUUUUCUUCUCUAAGUGUGCUGAUUUCGCUGAUUGCAGCUUUAUUCGAGUUCUUCUACUUCUUCUUCUUCUAACAUUAAAAAAUUGGUAAGAUUUCAUUAUCUGUUAUUUUUUCGUUUAUAUAAUCAAUGGAAAGAUUAUUGGGUUGGGCUUCCUGAUAUGAUUGUUUAAUUUUCUGAUGUGUAUUCAAGUUUGUAGCGUGUUGUCUGAAGAAUUUUAUUUCAUUCCGAGCGCAUACCAGUUUUGAAAAAGCUAAUUAUUUCAUGAAAUACAAACCAAUAAAAGCAUGUUUAGCAGCUUACGUAUAACUUCCAAAUUAGAGAAUAUUUGAGAUGUAUGGAAGUAAAGAAGAACUAGAGUAGCAAUGGUUGCACAAGAAACAGAGAUUCAAAUGAUUGAAGGUUACCUUUCCUCUCAGAUUCAAAAUCAAAGAUCUGGUAGAAAGGAUCCAAUAGUGUGACCUGAUCUUCUUCUUUGAUCUGUCAAAAGUGACAGUUUAUAAUCUUAUAAUGUGAGAAUAUAAGGUCUUAUAAUAUGAAAAUCUAAGGGGAAACUGAGCAAAUGAACAUCAGCAAGUGACUCAAACCAGAAUUCUCUUUACUCACUGCACACUAAUACACUCUUCUUUUUGGUACAUACACUAAUCUACUCUCUGCUCUCUCACAAACAAGAAGAAAUUUAUUUCAUUCCGAGCGCAUACCAAUUGUAUUCAGUGAGGGAUUUUGCGAGCCAAAACAGGGACUAGCGUUGUUACUCCUAUUGCAAUUUUGAUUUUAUAUCUCCCAAUAUUGUAUUCACUGUAAUAUUAAUUAACAACCACUGAACUAUAAUCUGCAAUAACAUCUAGUUCAAUUAUUAUAUGCAUGUACUAUUUUAUUUGUUAGGAAAAAAAAUAAUCAGUGAGAUCAUAGUCAUUCCUUUUAUUGACUUUGAUCGUCGAACCUAUUUUUGAGUAGAGACGUUUGACGAUAAUACAACAGAUGAACUUCUUACACAGUACCUCCGAACUAAAAAACCAGCAGACAUAUUGGUGUAUGUAUUUUACAUAUGAAAAAAGUUUUUAUUUUUCUCUGUUCUUUCUUGAUCAUCCAUAACUAUAAGGAGAAGUUAGUUUAUGAGUCAAGCAAUGUCAAACAUACAACUAAUAGUGUAUUCACCUAUAUUUUCUUUUAUAUAACUAAGCAAUAGGAUAUGGGUGUUUGUUUGUAAGAAAAAAAAAUAGCAGGAAACAUGAAUCAUGAUACAUGUUAAGAACUUAGAGAAAUUCAUGAGCUCACACUAACUAGCAAGAAGCAGUCUUUUAGUCGCGCGCGACUAUUUUGGAUGAUCUUGUAUCGUAAAGUAUACUAUUUAUAUUUUUCGUUGGUGUAAGUACUUAUUUCGACCCCGGAGCAGGCUAGAAGGAACCAUGUAUGCAUGUUUUUGGAACCAGCAUCUUUAAUACAAGUUAAUUUAUAAUCUAUUAUUUAUCUUAGUGUCAUCUGAUUGUAUAUUACAAUGUACUAACUGAAAACAAAGGAUCCGAGUCGACUAGAAAGUGCGACCUUAGAGUAGAACCAGUUGUGUUUAUUUGAUCGUAACAAGUAGUAUGAAUCGUAGUAUUUUUCUUAUCUUUUAUCUUUAUUUAAUUUAAUUUUUAUUUACUCUCCAAGGUUAUGGCACCUAGUAAGCAAUGAAUGCAACUUGUUGAUAAUCGGCUCGAUGAAGCCUACUUAAUCGGAGUGCAAAAUUUUUGGAUUAUGCUUUUCAGAAAAUGGGAGAAGAAUAUGAAAUACGAUGUCCAUGUGUCAAAUGUUGUAAUACAACUUUAGGAACUCGUUAGACAGUUGAGACACAUUUGAAAGUAUAUGAAAUAAUUCAAAAUUAUACGUUUUGGUAUCAUCACGAGGAAAAUUUAGGUGACCCACUGUCAGAAUCGGAAGAUGAAGAUGGUGAUAAACUAGAAGAAUAUGAAAGUGAAGAUGAAGUACAAGAACCGUUGAGAGAUCUAUCUCCUAAUAUUGAUGGAAGAACUGUGCACACUAACUGUGAUGAUUUAAUUGAGGAGACACCAAAUAAUGAAGCAAAAAGAUUUUAUAGGCUAUUGAAGGAUUUCGAGCAGCCAUUGUACCAAAAUUCAAAAGCUUCAAAGCUUUCCUCUUUGAUUAAAUUGUUUCACAUCAAAAGUAUGGGUCGCCGGUGUAACGAGCCAUUUACAAUGUUAUUGAAAUGUUAAAAGAGGAGUUGCUACCUGAUGGCGCCAAUUUGCCAAAAUCAUAUUAUGAGGCAAAGAAGAUAAUUCAAGACCUUGGCCUUUCCUACAACAAAAUUAAUGUUUGUACUAAUGAUUGCAUGUUAUACUAGAAGGAGGAUAACUUACUUGAUUCUUGCAAAGUUUGUGGUGCAUUUAGAUGGAAAAUAGAUAGACAUAGCAAGGAAACAAGGAAUAAAAAAGGUAAGAAAAUAGCAUCAAAGACUUUACGCUAUUUUCCAUUAAAGCGUAGGCUUCAGAGGUUAUUUAUGUCUACAAAAAUAUCUAGUUUAAUGACAUGGCAUACGGAUAAAAGAGUUAAUGAUGGAAUAAUGAGGCACCCAGCUGAUCCAAUGGCGUGGAAGUCGUUUGAUGAACUUCAUCCUUCAUUUGCGGCUGAGCCUCGUAAUGUCCGACUUGGACUUGCUAGUGAUGAAUUUCAGCCAUUUCGGAAUUCAAAAACCUCAUAUUGCAUUUGGCCUGUGGUUCUUAUUCCUUAUAAUUUACCACCUUAGUUGUGUAUGAAACAAGAAAAUUUUAUUUUGUCAAUGCUUAUUCCAGGUCCAGAUAGUCCAGAAGAUGCAAUUGAUACAUAUCUUCAACCUUUAAUAGACGAAUUGAAGGAGUUGUGGGAAGUUGGCAUUGAGACCUUUGAUGCAUCAUCUAAACAAAAUUUUAAGCUGCAUGCUUCUUUGUUAUGGACCAUCAAUGACUUUCCAGCCUAUAAAAAUUUAUCCGGAUGGAGUACAAAAGGAAAAUUGACAUGCCCAUGUUGCAAUAAAGACAUCUCCUCAAUUCAAUUGGCUAAUAGUAAGAAGCAAUGCUUUAUGGGUCAUCGACGCUACCUUCCUCUUAGCCACAAAUGGAGGAAUGACAAGGAUUCAUUUGAUGGUACAAAAGAGAAAAGACUCCCACCAAAUAUGCAUUCUGGUAGUGAGAUACUUAAUCAAGUGCAAGAUCUUGAAGGAAUAUAAUUAAUAAAGGAUCCAAAGAAAAAGAAGAAGAUAUCACAUGAAAAUUGCAAUUAACAAAGGAUCCAAAGAAAAAGAAGAAAAUUCACAUGAAAAUCGAAAGGAUAAUUGGAACAAAAAAGUAUUUUUUUUAACUUCCAUAUUGGAAGUCCCUCUUGUUGCGACAUAAUUUGGAUGUUAUGCAUAUUGAAAAAAAUAUAUGUGAUAAUAUUAUUGGAACAAUCAUGAAUGUCAAAGAAAAGACCAAGGAUACAAUUAAAACUUGAUUAGACUUGCAAGACAUGAAUAUUAGGCCGAAAUUGCAUCCCAUCCAAAGAGGGGAGAAAGUUGAAGUUCCAACUGCAUGCUACACACUGCCUCCCGAAAGUAAGCACAAAUUAUGCCAAUUCCUAAAGAAUUUAAAGGUUCCUGAUGGGUUUUCAUCUAAUAUUUCUCAAUGUGUGAACCUAAAAGAUCACAAGAUAUCUGGGUUGAAAAGUCAUGAUUGCCAUAUUCUUCUGCAACAUAUACUCCCCCUUGCACUUCGUGGUAUGUUGUCCAAAGAAGUAUGUGAACCGCUUAUUGAGUAUCUUUAUUCUUUAAUGUGCUUGAAUCAAAGGAGUUACAGAUUGAUGACUUAAAACAAAUUGAAGCGCAAAUUCCCAUAAUGCUUUCCAAGUUAGAAAAGGUCUUCCCUCCAUUUUUCUAUGUCAUGGACCACUUGCCUAUUCAUUUGGCUAGUGAAGCUAAGAUUGCUGGACCUAUUCAUUAUCGGUGGAUGUAUCAUAUGAAACGAUGGUUAUAUUUUUUGAAAUCUCUGAUUGAUAAUAGGGCAUGUCCAGAAGGCUCUAUUGCAGAGGGCUACAUUGCAAAUGAAUGUAUGACCUUAUGUUCACGGUAUUUGCAUACGAUUGACACAAAAUUUAAUCGACCUGAACUAAAUUAUGACGGGGGUUUAAAAAAAUCUAAUGGAGGUUAAUCUAUGUUUUAUCAACCUGGAACUACUCUAGGAGCUAAAGAACAAUGUGAGCUUGAAGCAAAUAAAUUGGAAUUAGCAUUGAGAAAUCAAGUCGCACAACAGGAAAGAAUAGAUGUGAAGUUUCUCCUAACUCUAUAGCCUUGGAGGGAUAAAUACAGACGUCUCCGUACCAAUCCUUCAGACUCUACUAAGCUUGUCCGUGAAUUGGGAGACCUAAGCAACCUUGAUACCAACUUGUCACGAUCCGGUUUUUCCACCCCCGAGAGUCGUGAUGGCACCUACUCAUGAAAGCUAGGCAAGCUGAGUAUUAUAGAUUCAUUAACCUUUUUGCUUAGCCUUUUUAACAGUUUAAUAUAAUAGAUGAUCAACAACGGAAUAAUUAUAAUAAACAGAAAUGCGGAAGACGAAAACUAAUAGUUUAACCAUAUACUAGUGCAUAAUCCAACAUACAACUCUACCCAGAAUUUGGUGUUAUAAUGUCACGGACUAUCUACGAACACUACAAACAGUGGUCUGAAAGAUAAAUACAAAGCUGUCUCUGAAAGAUAGAAGGAGACACCAUGGCCUGCAGACGCCUGCAGGACUACAUCGGGUCUCCACCACUGGACUGAAGGCAACAACCUUACUGUGGUCCAAAAGCUGCAGCACCGGGAUCUGCACACAGUGCAGAGUGUAGUAUCAGCACAACCGACCACAUGUGUUGGUAAAUGCCUAGUCUAACCUCGAUAAAGUAGUGACGAAGCUAGGACAAGACUACCAAAUAAACCUGUGCAGUUAUAUCAUAUACAACAAGUAAUAAUGACAAAAACUAGCAGUUAAAGACGGGAAGGGUAAACAUGCUCGGGGAAAUAUCAUGUACAAACCGAAAUUCAAUAAAGAAACAUAGAGAACACCAAAAUAAAACUAUAAGCAAAAAUAAGAAAAACAAAGACAUGUGCACGACAUCACCCAUCGUGCUUUUACUCUCAUCCUCACCAUAAGAAUCAAUAUAAUCGGCACGGCAUCACCCUUCGUGGAUUUAUCUCACAUGAUCAUGGCACAACAUUAUCCUUCUUGCAUUAUCACUCAUAUCAUGGCACGGCAUCACCCUUCGUGCUUUUACAUUUACAAUAUCGGCACGACAUCAUCCUUCGUGAACGACAUCACCCUUCGUGCUUUUACACUCUUCCUUACCCAAACAACAAUCACAAAGCAAUACGGGCGAGGGAAUCAAUAAAAUCACAAUAGAAAUCCGGCAAUGGAACAAUAGUAUAUCAAUAAUAUCCCGGCAAGAAAAAUAAUAUCAUGAGUAAUAGCAUCCCGACAAGGGAGAUAAUUUCAAAAACAAUAACAUCCCGGCAAGAGAGAUAGUAUCAUAAACCCCUUCUNNNNNNNNNNNNNNNNNNNNCAUGGACAAUACAAAAUGGAGUCACAUCAAUCAUAGUAUAAGACUCACGGGCAUGCUUGACACCGACGUAUAGAUACUCGUCACCUCACCUAUAUGUCAUACUCAACAAUUAACACAUAGCAAAUACGACACAACUCCUAAUCCCUCAAGUUAAGGUUAGACCAAACACUUACCUCAAAGCCACGAACACAAUUCAAGCCUUAACUACCGCUUUACCUCUUGAUUCCACCACCAAUUCGCUUGUAUCUAGCCACAAUUUACUUAACGAUAUCAACAAAUGCUAAAUGAAUCAAUUCUAAUGCAUGAAUAUAGAUUUUCCCAAAAAGUCAAAAAUUGACCCCGGGCCCACAUGGUCAAAAUUCGAGGUUCGAACCAAAACCCGAUCACCCAUUCACCCACAAACCCAAAUAUAUAACUUGUUUUAAAAUCGGAACUCAAAUCGAGGUCCAAUUCCCCAAAAAUUGAAAAUCCUAAGUUCUACCCAACAUCACCCAAUUCCCCCAUGAAAACCCUUGAUUUUGAAUUAAAAUCAUGUGAAAAGAUGUUAUAGAUUAAAAAAAUGAGUUGGAAAUGACUUACUAAUGAUUUGGAAAAGUUGAUAUCUUUGAAAAAUUACCCAAGAUGUUUUUAGGGUUUGAAGAGUUGUAAAAAUGAAUGAAAUCCCGUCAAAAUCCAAAUUAACUGGUCUCAGAUUUUUUAAUUGCGACCCGGGUUCGCAAUUGCGAACCCCUUUAGAACCUGUUGUCUUCGUAUUUGCGACACAACCUUUUCGCAUUUGCGAUAAAAGGGUCGCAUUUGCGACCAAGGCCUGCCCAGGCUAGGUUCGCAUUUGCGACGCCUGUGUCGCAAUUUCCAUGCUUGAGGACUUCGCAAUUGGGAAGCCUGAUCUUGCAAUUGCAAGAUCAGAGGAUAGGGCAAAAAUACCAGAUACCAGUAACUUUUCCUAAGUCCAAUAUCACUUCGUGGCCUAUCCAAAACUCACCCGAGCACUCGGGGCUCAAAACCAAACAUGCACACAAGUCCAAAAAUAUUAUACGGACUUGCUCGAACAAUCAAAUCAUCAAAAUAGUAUUAACAACUAUGAAUUAAACCUCAAAUUCAUGAAAUCACUCAAGAACAUUGAAAUUACUAUUUUCUCAAAUAAAGGUCCAAUUUACACCAAACGAACUCCGAUUCUUACCAAACUUCACAGAUUCAACUUAAUUAUUAUUUCAAACUUGUAUCGGGCUCCGGAACCAAGAUACGGGCCCGAUAACAUUAAGAAGUUACAUCAAUUCACUUCUAAAAGCCUUUAUAUUUUUCAGAAAAUAAUUUUUUUAAAAAUUCAUUUCUCGGGCUUGAGACCUCGGAAUUCGAUUCCGAGCAUUCGCCCAAGUCCCAUAUUUUACUACAGACCCUACAAGACCGUCGAAUCACGGGUCCGAGUUCGUUUACCAAGAAUGUUGACCAAAGUCAACUUUAAUCAAUUUUAAAGGUCAUUUUCCUAUUUUUUUCUUAGAUUUCACAUAAAAGCUUUCCGAAAACGUGCCCCGACUGCGCACGCAAAUCGUGGUAAGACAAAAAGAUUUUUAAGGCCUCAGAACACAAAAUUUACUUUCAAAACGAGUGAUGACCUUGGGUCAUCACAACAACAUUGAAAGUGCAUGCUUCUUGUUGUAGUUUCAGGGGUAUGAGAUUACUUAGUAUGAAACAUCAUGCAAAUUGUCUUACAAAAGUGUCGUUGAGCUGUCUGAGGAUAUUAUAGUCGAUAUAUUAAUUACACAGUUUGCCUUCUAAAUCUCUGGUAAGGUUUAUUUGUGUAUGUAAGCUAGCUAGUGAUGCAUUGCUGAUAUAUCUAUCUUUAGGUUAUAGUUGUCUAUCUCAAUCUCAACAAUAAAGUCCUUGAUCGCCCCUACAUCAUAGGUUUCUUCUGUCAAGCUAGAAAUUAGCCUAGUGAUGUUGUUGUCUGUUCAUAAUGGUUGGAAUCUUGAAUGGUAAAUCUCGAAUUGUCAUACCGGGAUUUAUCGAACCAAAGUAAGAUUAACCAUUCCAAAGCUUUUCUAAUUAAUUUUUCUUAUAUUCUUGUAGCCUUGUUGAUGUUGCUGGAUAACACCUAGUGAAUUUAGAAUACUUUUG